UCCAGAAAUGCCAGCCCUACAGGCCUCCUGCUGACGGUCAUUGUGGCUCUCACCUACACGGUCGCCAUUAUGUAUGAAGAGCCUUUCACUGAGGAGAUCUACCGGCAGAAAGCUCUGAAGUCAAAGAAGAAUAAAUAAAUGUCGGCAGGAUUUGUGUUGGAGAUUGGGUGGUGGAAGGAGUUUGGCUGACUGCAUUACUGGAAGCCAAGCUCUGUCCCCUCCUUCAUGUGUUGGAUAAUUUCAAGUGAAAUGCUUGAUGAUCACUUGGGUACUCAGCUACAGCCCCUCCCCACCCCUCAGGGGCUGGAGGUGGUAACAUAAGGUGCCUUUUGAAACUGCCACCUGGGCGGUGGGGAGGGUCUACCACUGGGUGCAUGCCCUCACCCACCCACCCACCCCCAACUUCCCAAUUCAAUAAUAAAGAAAUAGCCUAAUUCAUAUCUGCCUCUCCAUUCGUCUCUCCAUACACUAGUAAAGUAAGAGCAGGGAUUCUUGGUAUCUUGAAUAACCAGCAGGCAUUCUUUCCAUAACUCUGGGGUUAGGGUCAUGGCACCCCUGCAAUCUGGAUAAUCCAUGUAAAAGUUUUUUGCCUUCUCUUCAUACCAGAGAAGAAGUCUGGAUUUUUUCUUUUUCUUUUAUGGGGUGUUUACAGUAUCUUAUUAUAAAAUUUGGGUUAAGUAUUUGGUCAUAGACUCUGUGUUAUCUGCUGGCCUUUGCAUGUCUUCUGUGAUUUCCACAAAACUCCACAAAACACAAAAAUUUCCAUUUAAUUUCUUCUGAUGACCUGAGAUAUAUCAAAACCACAAUGGGGAAAGUCUCAAUGUGGAAGGUAUAACUAUAUGCUUCUCAAGCCAAUGGAAGACUGACUGCAUUGUGGGUAGAAUAAAUUUGGAUGAUCUCUUGCACUGCA